CAAUCGGCCCUUUACAGGGCCAACAAAUGUUUUCUACAUAGUUAUUU
rfam:Aedes aegypti strain Liverpool supercont1.242 genomic scaffold, whole genome shotgun sequence.